rnacentral:rRNA from 1 species
CAGUCGAGGGGUAGAAGUCUUCGGAUUUUGAGACCGGCGCACGGGUGCGUAACGCGUAUGCAAUCUACCUUUUACAGAGGGAUAGCCCAGAGAAAUUUGGAUUAAUACCUCAUAGUAUGCAGAGUUGGCAUCAACACUGCAUUAAAGUCACAACGGUAAAAGAUGAGCAUGCGUCCCAUUAGCUAGUUGGUAAGGUAACGGCUUACCAAGGCUACGAUGGGUAGGGGUCCUGAGAGGGAGAUCCCCCACACUGGUACUGAGACACGGACCAGACUCCUACGGGAGGCAGCAGUGAGGAAUAUUGGACAAUGGGCGCAAGCCUGAUCCAGCCAUGCCGCGUGCAGGAUGACAGUCCUAUGGAUUGUAAACUGCUUUUAUACGAGAAGAAACACUGCUUCGUGAAGCAGCUUGACGGUAUCGUAAGAAUAAGGAUCGGCUAACUCCGUGCCAGCAGCCGCGGUAAUACGGAGGAUCCAAGCGUUAUCCGGAAUCAUUGGGUUUAAAGGGUCCGUAGGCGGUUUAAUAAGUCAGUGGUGAAAGCCCAUCGCUCAACGGUGGAACGGCCAUUGAUACUGUUAGACUUGAAUUAUUAGGAAGUAACUAGAAUAUGUAGUGUAGCGGUGAAAUGCUUAGAGAUUACAUGGAAUACCAAUUGCGAAGGCAGGUUACUACUAAUGGAUUGACGCUGAUGGACGAAAGCGUGGGUAGCGAACAGGAUUAGAUACCCU